UUUGAUCAAUUUUCUAGUAGU
rnacentral:piRNA from 1 species